rnacentral:rRNA from 1 species
AUACGUAGGGUGUGAGCGUUGUCCGGAAUUACUGGGCGUAAAGAGCUCGUAGGUGGUUUGUCGCGUCGUCUGUGAAAUUCCGGGGCUUAACUCCGGGCGUGCAGGCGAUACGGGCAUAACUUGAGUACUGUAGGGGAGACUGGAAUUCCUGGUGUAGCGGUGAAAUGCGCAGAUAUCAGGAGGAACACCGGUGGCGAAGGCGGGUCUCUGGGCAGUAACUGACGCUGAGGAGCGAAAGCAUGGGCAGCGAACAGGAUUAGAUACCCUGGUAGUCCAUGCCGUAAACGGUGGGCGCUAGGUGUAGGGGUCUUCCACGACUUCUGUGCCGUAGCUAACGCAUUAAGCGCCCCGCCUGGGGAGUACGGCCGCAAGGCUAAAACUCAAAGGAAUUGACGGGG